UGGGGAAUAGCUCAGUGGUAGAGCGCUUGCCUAGGAAGCGCAAGGCCCUGGGUUCGGUCCCCAGCUCCGAAA
rfam:Rattus norvegicus chromosome 12, whole genome shotgun sequence.